UACGUAGGCAGCAAGCGUUGUUCGGAAUUACUGGGCGUAAAGAGUGUGUAGGCGGUGCUCUAAGUUCGUUGUGAAAUCUCCCGGCUUAACUGGGAGGGUGCGGCGGAAACUGGAGUGCUUGAGCGCGGGAGAGGAAAGCGGAAUUCCUGGUGUAGCGGUGAAAUGCGUAGAUAUCAGGAGGAACACCUGUGGUGUAGACGGCUUUCUGGACCGUAGCCGACGCGUGAGACACGAAAGCGUGGGUAGCAAACAGG
rnacentral:rRNA from 1 species